UGGCUUUACCUGAAGGCGGUGCUAACCCGCAAGGGAGGCGCGACCACGGUAGGUAGCGACUGGGGUGAAGUCGUAACAAGGUAGCCGUAGGUGAACCUGCAGAAGGAUCA
rnacentral:rRNA from 1 species